UGCAGUCGAGCGGAACGAAGAGGUGCUUGCACCUCUGGCGUCGAGCGGCGGACGGGUGAGUAAUGCUUGGGAAUAUGCCUUAUGGUGGGGGACAACAGUUGGAAACGACUGCUAAUACCGCAUGAUGUCUACGGACCAAAGUGGGGGACCUUCGGGCCUCACGCCAUAAGAUUAGCCCAAGUGGGAUUAGCUAGUUGGUGAGGUAAUGGCUCACCAAGGCGACGAUCCCUAGCUGGUUUGAGAGGAUGAUCAGCCACACUGGGACUGAGACACGACCCAGACUCCUACGGGAGGCAGCAGUGGGGAAUAUUGCACAAUGGGCGCAAGCCUGAUGCAGCCAUGCCGCGUGUGUGAAGAAGGCCUUCGGGUUGUAAAGCACUUUCAGUAAGGAGGAAAGGUUAAGUGUUAAUAGCACUUAGCUGUGACGUUACUUACAGAAGAAGCACCGGCUAACUCCGUGCCAGCAGCCGCGGUAAUACGGAGGGUGCGAGCGUUAAUCGGAAUUACUGGGCGUAAAGCGUACGCAGGCGGUUUGUUAAGCGAGAUGUGAAAGCCCCGGGCUC
rnacentral:rRNA from 1 species